rnacentral:rRNA from 1 species
GAUUCGUCACACUAUCAUUAACUGAAUCCAUAGGUUAAUGAGGCGAACCGGGGGAACUGAAACAUCUAAGUACCCCGAGGAAAAGAAAUCAACCGAGAUUCCCCCAGUAGCGGCGAGCGAACGGGGAGGAGCCCAGAGCCUGAAUCAGCAUGUGUGUUAGUGGAAGCGUCUGGAAAGGCGCGCGAUACAGGGUGACAGCCCCGUACACAAAAGCGCAUGUGCUGUGAGCUCGAUGAGUAGGGCGGGACACGUGGUAUCCUGUCUGAAUAUGGGGGGACCAUCCUCCAAGGCUAAAUACUCCUGACUGACCGAUAGUGAACCAGUACCGUGAGGGAAAGGCGAAAAGAACCCCGGCGAGGGGAGUGAAAAAGAACCUGAAACCGUGUACGUACAAGCAGUGGGAGCACCCUUCGGGGUGUGACUGCGUACCUUUUGUAUAAUGGGUCAGCGACUUAUAUUCUGUAGCAAGGUUAACCGUAUAGGGGAGCCGGAGGGAAACCGAGUCUUAACCGGGCGUUAAGUUGCAGGGUAUAGACCCGAAACCCGGUGAUCUAGCCAUGGGCAGGUUGAAGGUUGGGUAACACUAACUGGAGGACCGAACCGACUAAUGUUGAAAAAUUAGCGGAUGACCUGUGGCUGGGGGUGAAAGGCCAAUCAAACCGGGAGAUAGCUGGUUCUCCCCGAAAGCUAUUUAGGUAGCGCCUCGUGAAUUCAUCUCCGGGGGUAGAGCACUGUUUCGGCUAGGGGGCCAUCCCGGCUUACCAACCCGAUGCAAACUGCGAAUACCGGAGAAUGUUAUCACGGGAGACACACGGCGGGUGCUAACGUCCGUCGUGAAGAGGGAAACAACCCAGACCGCCAGCUAAGGUCCCAAAGUCAUGGUUAAGUGGGAAACGAUGUGGGAAGGCCCAGACAGCCAGGAUGUUGGCUUAGAAGCAGCCAUCAUUUAAAGAAAGCGUAAUAGCUCACUGGUCGAGUCGGCCUGCGCGGAAGAUGUAACGGGGCUAAACCAUGCACCGAAGCUGCGGCAGCGAACGUAUCACCCAAGACAACUUUACGGAGUUGACGAUUGACGGAGCGAAGCGACGUCAAAGCGUUCAUUAAAGUCGAGUUGGCUUAGGGAUACGUUCGUUGGGUAGGGGAGCGUUCUGUAAGCCUGUGAAGGUGUGUCGUGAGGCAUGCUGGAGGUAUCAGAAGUGCGAAUGCUGACAUAAGUAACGAUAAAGCGGGUGAAAAGCCCGCUCGCCGGAAGACCAAGGGUUCCUGUCCAACGUUAAUCGGGGCAGGGUGAGUCGACCCCUAAGGCGAGGCCGAAAGGCGUAGUCGAUGGGAAACGGGUUAAUAUUCCCGUACUUGGUGUUACUGCGAAGGGGGGACGGAGAAGGCUAUGUUGGCCGGGCGACGGUUGUCCCGGUUUAAGCGUGUAGGUGUGUGUUCCAGGUAAAUCCGGUUCACUUUAACACUGAGGCGUGACGACGAGGCACUACGGUGCUGAAGCAACAAAUGCCCUGCUUCCAGGAAAAGCCUCUAAGCAUCAGGUAACACGAAAUCGUACCCCAAACCGACACAGGUGGUCAGGUAGAGAAUACCAAGGCGCUUGAGAGAACUCGGGUGAAGGAACUAGGCAAAAUGGUGCCGUAACUUCGGGAGAAGGCACGCUGACACGUAGGUGAAGUG